GGAGAGGGGCCAUGGCUCAGUGGCAGAGCAUCUGCUUGGCAUGCAGAAGGUCCCAGGUUCAGUCCCUGGCCUCUCCA